UUUCAACCACAUUUAUUUAAUCCACACAAUCUCUGCUUGAUCGUUGUUGCUCCUGACCUGGUCCACUCACCUCCGUCAAGUCUGCAGCUUCCACGGCACUCUCUCGGCUCCCCCUCGUGCCUCUCAGUCAGCCUGCCACCACACUCCUCCACCAACCACCUGGUCAGUUCUCCUGUGCCUUCCAGUUCCCUCGUCCCAGCCUCCUGGGUCCCACCUGCUCCUCGGCUCCCUUGCCUCAGACUCUUCUGCCCUACUCGCUCCUCGGUCCCCUGUGCCCGUGUUCCCCCGGCAUCCACCUCUCCCUCACCUCCACUUCCUCAACCCCUUUUUCCCUCAAAACCAACUUCACCUGAGCGUUGCUUUUGGGUCCCCUCUGUCCAACAUGUUCUGGAGAUGCAUGGUUUUUAUACAGUACUAUUUUUAAUAUCAAUAUAACUGUUUUGUGUGUGUGUGUGUGUGUGUGUGUGUGCGCGCGCGCACACACCUACCUACCUACCUUAUCAAAAUGAGUAAACACAACCUGCCAUUUGCUAAUGGCUGACUGCAUAAUGACACAUAAUUGUAUUGUAGAUAACGAAUAAUGGUUUCAUGCCAGUUCCUCCAGCAUGUGGGAGAGGUUUGCAUUCAGGACCUUCUGGGAGCGAGGCUUUCUGCCUUUCUAUUUUCUUAAACCUAGAUAAUUAGUUUUGAUGCCUAAACCUAACCAGGUAGUAAGGCUUUCUGGUAAGAGGCCCCGAGGGCAAACUUUUCCCAUGUGCAUGAUUUAUCAGACUCCAAUCAGUGAAGUUGAAUUAUCCCUCUUUAAUAUUGGCACAUAUCUGUAAAAGUUUUCGAAAUGUCAUAGCCUUGUGGGUGUCUAAUCUCCAGCAAAAUGAACAGAAUACCAGGCACUGCCAGAGCUCAUUUGAUGACUGCUAGAAUUAAUCUUUCAUUUUUUGUUGUAUUGAUUUUCUUUUCUGAUGACCUAUAUAAAUGUCUGUCGGCAGCAGCUGCGUCGCACAUGUCUGACUCUGCGGCUGUUGCUGUGACCCACACGGCUCUGCUGCUUUCACUGCUCUUUAUCACUCUAAUCCCUCAUUUCAACAGUUAUUUUGUGAUGUAUUCAGCGUCCACAAUGACCACAGAUAACUGAAAUGAGAGGAAUAAAUGCUAUCAUUCCCCCCUCUCAGUUUACUAUCAACGAUAAUUGAUUAAACCCUCUUACGAAAAUUGAAAUGCGGCUGGGAUUUGGCAUUGCACGUUGAAGCCAAGUUCAGGCAAGUCAAGACCAAAGAAAACUUAAUUUUUAAAGACCUGAGAAAUUUGUAUGAGGGAGUGUGUGUGGGCAUGAGAAAAGGAGGACUUGGUUGAACGCGUCAUGAUAAUUAUAAUGUGUGCUGUGUUUGACAGAGUGGUGUCAUAUGUUUGACAUAUGUUAAAGUUUGUGGCUCACUUGACAAGAUCGGGUUUCAACAGUCCUUUAAUCCUUUUUGUCAGUCAAAUCAGUUAAACAUUAACCUAAUUUUAAAUGACGCUCUAAAUAAUUUGUACUUUGGCUCACAGGCACUCACUGUGCAUGAAAAUGUGCUUUGGGGGAGUGGCUUUGGAGGGAGGCCUGAAGGGGUGUUACUUUUUUGGUUUGGAUACUUUCAUAUUCUUGCUAGUUUCUCCAACGUUGCCUUCUCCAGCUUUAAAGUUGAUGAUAUAUGGAGCAAUUUUUAGAGCAAUGUUGCCGUCAAUGGUAAUGAGUAAAGAUUACUAUAAAAAGGGUGCAUUUCACUCACAAAGCCAUAUGGACAUUGUUUCAGCAUGUAACUCUGUGUUAGGUUUCAUCAUUUGCCUCCAGGAAAUAACCACGUCAUAAAAAGUUUGUUCAGCCCCGCCAAAGUGACACUGAUCCUGUUUUCAUUCAAUCCUAAAACAGUGUUGUGACCACACCACGGUCAUGUUCACCAUAUAUACCAACCCACUGCUCUAUAAUCACAAACCAGCAACGACACUGAGGAAGUAAAAUCCAGGCUGAGAAGCAAACAAAGUUUCCUCAACUGAUGGCUCUGGAUUAAGCAUCUAAAUUUGGACCUUUAUUGUUCACUGGAUUUACAUUUGUUUUCUUAUGCGCUGUGUUGGAUUUAUUAUGAUUUUGAUGUAAGGUUGUUUGCCUCAGCUUGUUCACAAAAGGCAGAGCGGCAAGAUGGCUUUAUUCAGCUUCCUCAUCCUGACCUCCUUGUGUAUUGCGGCCGAGAGGCCCUAAGCAAAUCUGAUUGUAAAGCAUAUGCCAAAUGACCUUGACCUUCAAGCUCACAUUUCUGUAUUGGAUAAUAAAAGGGUCAUAUUAUUUGUUAGUUCAGAUGUGGACCUUUAGGGAUGCCAUAUUUUAGUUAACUUCAGAUACUUAAUUAACACACUUGAAAGAGUGUUUAUUGCACUGGUAAGUAUGUGUUUACACAACCUGUUCCCAUUCAAUAGUCAACGCUGAUUAUUUAUACUAACAUACUAAUUUUUACACAAAACAUGGACUUUUCCUAAACCUAACAAAGUAGUUUUGGUGCCUAAACUAAUUUGCCAAAUUUCACAACAUUAGCAGGUGUUUAGUCUAACCAGCAUUAAAUAUUUAAUAUUGCUAAAUUGGUCGCAGUUUUUCUGCAACCAAUUCAAUUAAUUUUAAAUGUAUUUUUGAUAUGGAAUUUCAGCUUUUCUAUAAAAUUGUUCCUUACAUACAGAAUCAUUUUCAGCAUUUUGUUUCACACAAUUCCUCCAUCUGAAUAUGCUGAAUAGUAGUUUGGAUUAUUCCAUAAAGUGAAUGAAUAUCACUUCAGAAUCUUUUCUAAUAUAAUGACGUCUUUUCACCAUCAGAAUACACUGAUAUCGCUGUGGUGUGUGGCACGUCAUACAUUGAUCUGGCAAUUCAAAUCUGCCCAGCUAUCUACAGCGGAUACAACAAAAGCUUACUGAUGCUCAACUACAUCGCAGACAUUGUGGACUGUCAGGGAAAGGUGGACACCUCAUUGACACCUCCUGUGUUGAGAUUCAGCAUCCAAAUCAAACAGACAAAAGCCUGUGGGAGUGACUUCUUGGUCAUCCUUCAUUGUUUUGAAGGACAACAAUGGGAGCUUCAUCAGUACCCUCAGCAUGUCCUUAUACCAGGAUAUAAAUUACACCAAGCCCCUUGUCAUGCCACCUCUGGGCAUUGAACUGAGAACACACAUCUAUGUGCAGGUGGUUGCAUCCAACAUGACAUCACAGUGCGAGUGUGACUGGUUGUUUGUCUAUGUGUGGCCCUGCGAUGGACUGGCGACCAGUCC